rnacentral:rRNA from 1 species
CAAAUUAUCCUCAUAAGUUUGACGAAAAGAGGAACCCUAAUAUUUUUCUUUUUUUCCUUAAUUUUAUUUAUAUCGUAAUUUUACGUUAUUUGUAGAAGGUUAGGAUUAAGAGAAGGUAUCAAAGGGUGGCACAAAAUCGGAGGCCCCGACUGUUUACUAAAAACACAAUUCAGAGCAAUGAUGAAAAAUCAUAGUAUUCUGGAUGAAAUUUGCCCAAUGCCAUUAACAUAAGAGAGGUUAUGGGUGACUGUAACUGAUUGAAAGUCUGGUUAAUAGCGGUCUUAACUAUGAGGAUCCAAAGGUAGCAAAAUAAAUUGGCCAUUAAAUGUGGUCUGGUAUCAAUAGUGUAACGAUGGUCUCACUGUCUCUACAACUUGCUCAGUGAAAUUGAAUUACCCGUGCAGAUGCGGGUUGCCUCCAG